CUAACUCUAAUAGUUUAUAAAAACA
rnacentral:tRNA from 1 species